AAUGAAAAGGAAAAGGAACAAACUAGAAGAUAAAAAUAAUAUUAUCAAACCUCUUGGACAGAAUGCACUAGUUGCUUUAUUAAAUAAUAAUAACAGUGAAAUGGAAAAAGAAGUUGAAAAAGAAAUAAAUAAAAAUAUGAAUAAAAAAAAAAAUGAAAUAAAUUUAUUUGAAAUUAAUAACACUAUAGAUAAUAAUUACACUUUUAAUAAAAGAAAAAAAAACGAUAAUACAGACAAUAUACCAUUUAAACUUCUUAACACUGUUAUACCUCCAGUUAAUAUAUUAAGUGACAGACAAUUUGAAUCCUUUAAAUGUAAUAAUUUUAAUAUAAAUACUAGUGUUCAAAAUGAAUGUGUAAAAAAUAAUUAUAUUUAUAAUAUGAAUAAUUAUAAUAUAUUCUUAAAUAAAAGUAGUAAAUAUGAUUUCUUUGUACCUAUAACUUAUAAUCAAAGAAAAAGUAUAAAUAGCACUUCCAAUGAAAAAAACACAAUUACUUAUACUGAUAAAGUAAUUGAUACUAACCCAACUUAUAGUAACGAACAAUUUUAUGGUAGCAAUAAAAGAACUAUUGCUACGACUAUUACUAACUCAAACAAAAUCAAAAACGAAUGUAGAAUUGUAGAAGAUAAAGAAUCUGCUUUUUUGUUAAAAAAGAAAAAAAGAAAAAGAGAAAUAAUAUUAGGUGUGGGUGUACAUACGGAUAUAGGUACACAUACAGAUGUAGGUGUUGUAGUAGACCAUUUAAAAAAUAAUAAAACUAAUGGUACUAUGGAAAAAGAAAAAAUUAAAACAGAUAAUACUGGACGAAUUGGUGAUGAUACUGAUUGUUGUGACGCCUAUAAUAAUAAUUAUAACAACACUGUUCAUAUGAAAGAAAAAAUAUAUAAUAAAAUAAAUAAAACGAGGUACAAAAAUAACAUGUUAACUUAUAUAAGCCAUAAUAGUAACAUUAAUGAUAACAACAGAAGUAACAUCAAUAAAAAUAACACUGGUAAUAGAAAUAAUAAUAAUAAAUGUAUAUCUUAUACCAAUGAUACAACUAGUAAAAAUUUUACUAAGGAUAAGUCACUUGAAAUGAGAAAACAUAAAAACCCAAAUGAAAUAGAACAUGACAGUACGUGGAAAGGUUAUGAUAGCAAGAGGUCAAAUGAUGAUAGUAUGUCAGAAAAUAUUAAAAACAAACUAUCCAAUAAUAAUAAAAAAAAAGAUAAUAGUUGUGGUAAUAGUAUUAGUAGCUGUAGUAGUAAUAACAAAAAUUGUAAAAUAAAGAGGGAAUACAAUGAUAAAAAACUAGAAAACAGUAAAGAAGGUAAAGAGAAAAAAAAAAGUGAGGAUGGUAUAAAAGAUAGUGAUACACCAUGUGCUAUUAACGUAAGUGAUGAAAAAAUAAACGAAAAAAACGACAAAAGCGAGGAAAACGAAAAAAGUGACGAAAACGACAAAAGUGAUGGAAACGACAAAAGUGACGAAAACGACAAAAGUGACGAAAACGACAAAAGUGACGAAAACAAAAAAAGUGACGAAAACAAAAAAAGUGACGAAA
rnacentral:lncRNA from 1 species